rnacentral:lncRNA from 1 species
GAAAAGUAAAUCUAAGUAGAUGUUCUCAUGUUUCCCCACUUCACCCUAGUACACUACCUCAGUGUGCUGUGCUGGGGGAGAAUCUGCCUGGACUGCGUACUGGAGAAGUUUAAGGUCUUGGAGCCUACGUAUUACCUAUCCAAAAAAAAAGAAAAGAAUUAAAGAAUAAAGGCAAUGCAAAACGUUGGAGAGCCAAUCUGAAAUCAAUUGACAGGCAUGAACAUUUGUUAAUAACAUGAGUAUAAGCAGAUGGAGAAGGAAUUGUACUGAACAUUCUCCAAAUAUAGAAACAAUCUACUGGAGAAAGUCAGACAAACAUGGCUUCACCCCAGAUAGCCCUAGAAAAAGCCACAGGUUCUAUAGCAAAAUAAACUGAUGGUUCCAAUUAUCCUUCCACUGAGGAAGAAACAACCCUGAGGAGAAGGCUAUAUAAAGCACUUCCUGGU